rnacentral:rRNA from 1 species
AGUGAACGUUGGUGGCGUGCUUAACACAUGCAAGUCGAACGAGAACGGAUUAUAGCUUGCUAUAAUUGUCAGCUAAGUGGCGCACGGGUGAGUAAUGUAUAGGUAAUAUGCCUCUUACUAAGGGAUAACAAAUGGAAACGUUUGCUAAUACCUUAUACUCCUUAUUAACAGAAGUUAAUAAGGGAAAGAUUUAUUGGUAAGAGAUUAGCCUGUAUUGUAUCAGUUAGUUGGUGGGGUAAUGGCUUACCAAGACUAUGACACAUAACUGGUUUGAGAGGAUGGUCAGUCACACUGGAACUGGAACACGGUCCAGACUCCUACGGGAGGCAGCAGUGGGGAAUAUUACACAAUGGACGAAAGUCUGAUGCAGCAACGCCGCGUGGAGGAUGACACAUUUCGGUGCGUAAACUCCUUUUAUAUGAGAAGAUAAUGACGGUAUUAUAUGAAUAAGCACCGGCUAACUCCUUGCCAGCCGCCGCCGUAA